rnacentral:lncRNA from 1 species
CACGGGGUUCAAAAUAUUACUUCUGAAUUGGAAACACAAAUCAUGUUUCUUACUCUUAUCCUCCCCACAACUUAUUUUAAUAUUUGUUCAUACAGUUGCUAGUACAAGUAUUGAUCCUGUUUGGGAUCUGCAAUGUAAAUAAUACUGCAAGUACAGAGAAGAAGGAUUGGCUUUGUUUUCAGAUCUUCGAAAGGCAUUGCUAUCACUAGCAAUCAAGACUCAGAACAAGCAGGAGAGGUGCUUAUCCACAGGUUUAGUUUGAAGGAGAGUAUAAAAAGGGAAUGUGGCAUUUUUAGUGAGAGCCGUUUGAAUUGGAAGACCAUUCCAGUGUUCAAAGUAAGUAGUUCCUGAUCAAGUGCCAGAAGAAGACACGAAGUUUGAGCUGCAUGCAAUUACCUACCUCAUUCCACAAAUGAUCUGCACCAGCUAGAAAAACAGAAUAUGUCUUUGCAGCUAUUUGGGGCUCCUCUGCAGAAACAGCGCAAAACUUUUCAGAGGAGUUACUAGCAACAAGAGCUUCACAUGGUGGAUGUAAAGGCAAUACAAACCCAUUAAGACUGGCGAGCACUGUUUACUAUUCAUGAAGUUCUCUCUGAAAGUGGUGAGCAUCAUUACACCUCUUCUAGAGGGAGAAACUUAAGCUGAGGAAGAUUAUAUGAUUUGAACAAGGUCAUCAGCAGGUUAGCAGCAAGCUCCAGUCAAAAAACCUCUAUCUACUGUCUCCUAACAGCACAGUAACCAAGUUUGUGUUUCUUCUGUCAUUUAGUAUCUUUUGCUUUCAUGUUGGUAUUUGACACAGUGGGUGAUCAGUUCAACUUCCCACUGGUAAUGGCAACUGGUCUAUUUGAUGUUUCCCACUAAACCACCUCAACUGAUGGUUCCUUCCGCAUUUAAGAACAACAGAAUAGUAGCAGAAGAGAAGAUGGAAAUAUUUCAAGUGAAAGAGCUUGAGAAUUGUUUUAUAACACUUCAGUGCCUUUGAAACGAAUAAAAGGACUUGGUUACAGUAAU